CGUUUACUGUUCAUCCUCUAGCUUUCGAUCAAAUUAAUGGCUUCCAAGGAGUUAGUUGAAUCACACAAAAUUUACAUAUAUGAUACUUCAGAUGAGGAUCUUGAGGACACGGCUUGCUCUAUUUUGAAAAAUGGAAAACGAAUAGUUGCACCAACAAAAAGAAAAUUUUCUUCGUAUGAAUUAUUCGUUAAAAAGACUGCAUGCUCAUGCAAUAAGGAAAAAAUCAAUUGGAAUAAAUUUGAGAGUAGUAACAACCCUGAAAAUGAUGAAGAAGAUGAUCUGUGGCCGUCUCCCACACCAAAGAGAAGAAAGAUAUUGAUUGGACCUACUCAUUUUGUCAUUCUAACAGGAAAAGAUGAUCUGAUGCAUAUGACCUUUAAGAGAAUCAUAUGCAUUUUUGUUUGUAAUAUCUCUUGAAUAUUUUCGCAGAGUGAAUGAUUAAUUCAU